GGGGGGGGGGUCGCGCUAAGGGCCUUACCUUGUUCUUGCUGCUCUCACAGGACUGCAGGCUGGCGAGGAUCUGGCUCUCGAUGGCUUGGACCCACGCGUCUCGUUCUUCGUAUGUGGUGGCUUCAAAGUGCCACGUCUGGCCAGUGAGGGACACGAUGAUAAACUCAAAGUUUUCCUCUUGUUCUGAAACACAGAGGGGUGGGGAUGAAGAGUUUAGCUUUCAUGAGACGGCGGCCCUCUGCCCAGGCUCGGCCAUGAAAGGGGCUCUGGGUUCAGUCGCGCCUCCCUGGGGCCGCAGCACCUCCCUAAAGGCGGCGCGGCUGAGCUGUGGCUCAGUCAGUGCGCAGGGGAGGAGGACAAAUGGAAACCAGCGGGUGAUGCCCGCGGCUCUGCGUUGGGCACAGAGGAAGCGACUCGGGGAAGUAACGCCGUACCUCCCUGCACCAUCCAGCACAAGACCCACCGCAGCGGCUUUCAUCCCCUCAUCUUCCGCCUGGAGAGCGAGCAGACGGACGCCAGGUGACCUGAGGGGACUUCACGGCUGCCAUGGGGCGACCGUCUGCACAGCAAGGAGGGGGACGUGCGCCUGCCACAGUGGGGUCUUUGGACAGAUUCUGGACUCCGCCAAGGCUCACGUCCUUACCCUGAAAAUGGGGGAAGAGGCCACCUACUCCACAGUGUCACCCACUGGCUAAGUGACAUAUGCCACUGAGGCUGAUGGCCUGGGCCAUGGGAGAUGCUCCAUUUCCCCCCCCCCUCCCCCAUACUGUCACAGAGACAGGAAAUGCCAAGCAUGAGUUUCAGGCACGACUCCUCACUUGAUUUGUGAUUCCCAGCCACCAGGCCACACAGCUGCGUCACAGCUGCCCCUUGAGAAGUCGUCACUGAUCAGGAGAACCACCUACAGUCUCCGGGGUGGACUGCCGGCUCCAUGACCGGUCUGCCACCGGCACGGGGUCACGUCUGCGGCACCAAGUCCCCCACACCCUGCCAUCUUGCACACUCUCGGCUCCCCAGCCCAGUUCCCUGGCAGCCCUCAUAGCCCCUGACCUCCAGCCCCUGACCUUCCCCGGGCUCCCUGCUGCCCAGAUCAACCGGCCUUCUCUGGGCUUCCCGCCCAGAGCCCUGCCUCCUGCCAGUCCGAGCCUCGAUGCCACUCCGCUCCGGAAGGCGAUCACAGGCUUCUCCAGCGACCCUUCCCUGCUGCCCUUUGUCUCAUCUGCCUCAGCCACCCCUCCAGCCUGACCCCAUCAAUGCCACCGGUCGACCCCGCUCUGAAGAGGGGGUGGGGGCACAGGGCCCGGGAUUCUCCAGCACAGCCUGCUCCCGGGAACCAGUUCCCUAAAUGGCCACAACCUGCUCCGGAAACACGGCCGUGCCCAUUGCACGCAAAACCUUUGCACAUUCUGAAGACUGACAGUGUCGUGCUCUGUGUAGAGUCACCAUUGCUGCAGCUUUAGGAUUUAGCCCGCUGGGGAGCUGGGCCUCCCUCUGGGCAGCACCCAAAGGCAGGGAAGGUUCAUCAGUGAAACCAUAGUUGAAGGCCUUCUAUGAACGCACCCGGCCUUGGGCACAUGCGUGAGGGUUCUCUGGCAAGAGGGUCUGCGGCUUCGCAAAGGGCUACGGCAAUCCUGGAGUUGUCAGAGCUCCUGUGGCGAGGGUGCGUGGUGGGGCGCCGGUGCGGGGGGCAGGCCAGGCCCGGCCCUGAUAGAGGCCCAGUCCCCGAGUGUGGAUGCCCCGCAAGGGAGGGGGGCGGGCCAGGGGAACCCCAUGCCGGAGCCUCGCCGGGGGCGGGGCCGUAAGCAUCACCCCGGGCCCCCUGACUCUCUGGCUCCUGAGCUCUGGGGAGCUUGUGAUACGGAUUCAGAAAGAGAGGAGGGGCCAUCAGAAGUUUUACCCCGAUGGACUGUGCUAGGGUCAGAGAACAAAUGACCCCUGUGUUUAGGCCGAGGCGGACGCUGCACCUGCUUUGGGAAGGGGACGUGGGGCAGGAAGCCUGGGGGUGCUGGCAGGACCCCUGCCCCCGGCAACGCCCUGGGUCACUCGUGGCCCUGUUGGGAUUUUCAUUUUCAAAACCAGCCGUGACUUCCCAGUAGGUCUGCCCGUGAGUGACCUGCAACUGUACCUCACAAGUACUGGCUGAGUCCCUACGCCUCGGAUUUUUAAACAUCCAGUGUCUUGACCCUCAGGGUUUUAUGUUGCUAAUGCUAGAAAUUACAAUGUCUUCUACACUGAA